GUGUCAGCCGCCGCGGUAAUACAGGGGGGGCAAGCGUUGUUCGGAAUUACUGGGCGUAAAGGGUCUGUAGGUGGCUUGCUAAGUCAGACGUGAAAUCCCUCAGCUUAACUGGGGAACUGCGUCUGAUACUGGCAAGCUUGAGUGCAGGAGAGGAACGCGGAAUUCCAGGUGUAGCGGUGAAAUGCGUAGAUAUCUGGAGGAACACCGGUGGCGAAGGCGGCGUUCUGGACUGCAACUGACACUGAGAGACGAAAGCCAGGGGAGCAAACGGGAUUAGAAACCCCCGUAGUCC
rnacentral:rRNA from 1 species